rnacentral:tRNA from 1 species
UAAGUUAGAGCUUGUAGUAUAAGUUUGGUAUUUUUGAUACUAGGAAACAAAUUUUAAUGUUGUUAACUUAA